AUCACUAUUAAAACUCCACCUAAUAAGGAACCAAUAUAAGACUAACUUUCUAAAGUGUCACAUUUAUAGUAUUUCCACACUCUUACUCAGGUAUUGCAGCUUGGCAGUGACCAAUAGCUUUGGUCAUGCAAAUACAUAUGCCAUGCAUUUAGGAGAUUUGUUUUUCUAUUGGAAUCGAUCUGAGGCUGCAUGUGGCAGCUUGUAACUAUAAUGGAUAUCAAAUAAUUGAUUGACAGAAAAAUUCAAACGUUUUCAUGUUUAGCAAAUCUUUUCUGAUCUUCAAGUUAAGGUUGUAUUAAAACAUACUAGAGAGGGAAAUUCCCAUUUAGACGAUGGAUAAUAUAUAUGCAGUUACAAAUUGAAACUUGAAGAUAAGGAAAUCUAAAAAAACCAAGAACCACAAAGAAAAAAAAUUCAAAUUUCGGAUGAACAGAAGGCCCCCCUAGAAAUCUCCACUCCGCAAAAUGCUCUGGCAUAUCUCACAUUCCAAAUGCACCACAUCAAGCAUAAAAAGACCCCCUACAAGCUACAUUGGGCUUCCACUUUUCUCCACCAUCAUCUCCGACAACUUAACUGCUUUAUGAGUUCCAGCAUUUUUGUUUGUAAUAUCACGUGAGAUAAGGGCUUACUAAACUCUUUAAAAAUGACUUAUAAUACAUAAAUUUGUUAAAGUUAAACGUACAUCUGAUCAUCCUGUCACAGUUUCAGUAUAGCAUUGCAACCAUUUGAGAAGAAUUUUUUAUACUUCAAUUUUCAUUUUGGUACCUAGCUAGGAACUAAGCUAGCUGCUUUCGUACCCAGUUUGGAACUUUAUAGAGUCUUGAAUUAGACUAACGAUAUAGUCUUGGAAAUAAAAAUAGACAAUUUUGUGCUUAGUUGGUAAGUAUACAAAUUCCUGGGUUAAGAAGAUAAUAGAUUUUACGGUCAAUAUUUGAUGAAGUCGAAGGUAUGAACAAAAUAAACUAGUUUGGUCAUAAUGAUGUUACUUAACAGCUAUUUGUUCCAUAAAGAUGUCCUAACAAUUGUGAAAAAGAAAAUUGCAAAUAUUAUUAGGGUUUUUUUCUUUUUUCAUUAAGUAAACAAAAUUUAUUAAAAACAAAAAGGCGUCUACCCAAGAACACAAGAUGUAUACAAGAGAAACAUCUUACUAGAAAAAGACAAAAGAUCUAGAAAAUCAAGAAAAUUAGAAAUAGGCAAACAACCAUAGGAAGUUGUCCAUUGGUAAAAAGUUUUGAAGGAGAAGAAGGCCUUUAGCUCCACCAUCAUCUUCUCGCAAUCAUAAAAACUUAGAUAAUUUUUCUCUCUAGAUGCACCACAUUAAGCAUGACAAAAUUAUCUUCCACACUAUGUACAGAAUUUCCCUCUCCAACUUGCAUAGAGAUCCACCACCCGUCAAGGCACAAAGAUCGAAGAUGAAUUCUGCAAUUUUUUCACUCUUCUUACACAUGUAACACCAAUCUAUCACUAUGAGAUUCCACUUUUUUAAGUUAUACACAAUGAGGCUCUUCACUAAAGCGGCUGACCAGGCGAAGAAAACCACUUUCAAAGGAACCUUCUACAAAUACUCCUAUAGGGAAAGGGGGGCACUGGCAUGGGGAUAAGGACAUUAUAGAAAGGAUAAUUCAGUAGUAGCCAAUCACAUUAGGGGGAUAAUCAGUUGAGGUUUGUAAUGCAGAAAUAGCUAGUUAUAUGGGUUGCUUGAAGAGAGGGAAUUGAGUGGUUGAAAUUUUGGAAGUCUGAAAAGUAGGUGAUGGUGAAUCGUGUUACGUUUGAUUUUUAUGUUGACAAAUUCAUGUGUUAAAACAUGGUUUCUGGGUUGUAAUAUUUAGGUUUGACUUAAGGAUUAAGUUGGCGUAAAAGUUGGUCCAAAAAUUCAAGUUUAAGAAUGUUGUCCAACAAAGACCUAGUUAGAGUAAAACAACUAUAUCUUCUAAUUCCAACAUCUGAUGAAAGCAAGUUUGGUGGUGUUGAAAAGUUGCCCUCAGUCUGGAAGGUUGAGGAGUGUUGCGAUUUGGAAGAUGGUGCCGAUUUGCCUUUUUUGGUAUUUAUGGAAGGAAAAAAAUAAUAGGUGUUUCGAAGAUUUGAAGAGGUCCUUGUAGGAUAUUUUAGCUUCGUUUUUUCAUGCUUUGUAUCUUUGGACAGUGGCUUUUGUGUCCCCACCGUCGCUUAGUUUUGUUGAUUUUCUUGUUCUUUUUUCUCUUUCUAGUUAGGUGCUUCCUUUUGUAUACUUCUGGGUACUUAGGGGUGUCUUACACUUUUAAUAAAACUGAUUAUUACUUAUUAAAUAAAAAAAAGUUGAUUAAAAGGGAUACCACUUUGUAUUUUACUAACAUUUUCCAAUUUGAAUGUUUAUUCGGUCAAAAUGGGUUGUCAAUAUCUCAGUCGAGGCUCAUUCGAUCGAACUAGUGUGUCAAGUCUUGGUACUAAAAAGUAAAAACUGAGACGUUUGGUCGAAGGCUCAAUCGAACUUUGGUUGACCAAAGAGAUGGAGUCAAAGAUGAAUUAAUAAAAUCCUAGCUCGCGUUCGAACGAGGCGGCCGUUGAAAGUUUGAUUGUUAGCCAACUUUGCUUUUAAAAACUCUUCUUUCUCCCCCAUCUAUACAAGCCUAACGGUCUACAACUUUCAUAAGUCUUAGAGGUUAUUUUCAUUGUUUUGGGAGAAGUUCCUAAACACAUUUUGAGCCUAAACAGAUUCCCCUCCUUGUUUUUCAUCAACAAAAUCACAGAAAAACCUUCAACCACCAGAGUUGUAGGUUGUAGCAAACAAGGUUUGUUUGUAAAAGUGGUUCGUGUAGAACAAUGUUAGAAAAUUAUGGAACUACUAUGGUGGGGGGUGAAUAGGUCGUUUGCCGGGGUUGCAAAUCGAGUCUUGUGAGUAACUUUAAAGUUGAGUCUUACAAAAGUUUUGUAAGUAAGAUCAAUCUGUAAUACAAGUCUCUUAUAGUGAAUACCUUUGGGGUUUGCUCACCCUUGGAAUGGUUUUACUUUCGAAGAGUUCUUCAAAAGAUUUGUACUUUGUUACCAAAAUUUCUGUUUGAAUUUUCUUUUAUGCUUGCUUUGAUUUUGGUAACUUUGAGUUUAAAGUUGAUAACUUUGUUAACAUGAACUGUGUCAUUAAAUUGAGAUUUUUCUAAAUUAUUAUAACUUAAGGUCUAAAACGAAUUUUUCAAACCGAGAUACAGAUCACUAGCUUUUGGUAAGAAUUUUUAGUCAAUUCAUCCUUUGUAAGGGGAACAAAGUUCCAUUUGAGGUCGCCUUUCUUGCUUGGUCCAGAUACUCCAUUGUUAACCAUUCAUGAUUUGACAAAGAGCUGAAAAUCUUAGUGAACUGGUGUUCGAAUGUGCCAAAGUAAUGGAGAAUGUGGAUGGUCUGUCAUUGCAUUAUUGGUUAGCUAGAGAAUUUGGUUUCUCAACGUUUCCUCGUUUGGCGUGGUGACAUCCAGCAUGGAUACCCCAUUUUUAUGUACUCAUGGAACAGGCUCUUACAUUUCUCACCGUGUUGGUGUUCUGAAGGUGAAGCUUUGCUCCUAAUACUUGUCUCCACUCAUUGAAUUCUAUUCUCUCAUUCGACUAAUAUCCUUUUCUGUUUCUUACCAUUUACUAUUAAAAUUGUUAGACUACUUUUUUUUCUUGUAUAACAUAAUAUUACAUUCAACACCCGAUAGCUUUUCACUAAUCAAUGUUUUUUCACAUCUACUUUUAGAUUACAUGAUCUUCAUAUAUAUGUUUGUCAUGCUCUCGAAACACCAACAUGAUUAGAAAUUAAAAACUAUCUUAUCCAUAAAACAUUCAAAAGUAAAAUUCUCUUGUAUUUUCAACAUCUGUUAAACACUUGACUUUUCGAUUAAAUAAUAAAUGACAUUUGCUUGACAUGAAAAUUCGAUAUGCUUGAUAAGUGUGUAAAGAACAUUUUUGAUAUAAUAGCUAGUAGGCUUGAGAGAAUAUUAGUUAUUAAGUGAUAUACCAUUACUAGAGGUUUUCCAUGUGACUUGAGCCCAUUUAUAUACGUAUGUAUGAAUGUAUUUGUUUAUGUGUAUAUGCAUAUAUAUAGUAAUGGGGCACAACAAUUCGAUGGGGUGGUAUCAAGAUGCCAAGAUAUAUAACCUAUACACAGAGAAUAAGUUGGGUUUGAAGAAUGAUGAUACUUAUAGAUGAGAUGGCUUCCUUUUUGGGUUGUCUCAUAAUACAUGGGAAUCUAUGGACACUUGAAAAAUGAAAAUAUUUGUUAAUUUAUUAAUUUUAAAUUUGAACCUACCUUUUCUUUGAAGUGCAUCGAAGGACAUUUUUUUUUUGGAAAAUUCUUAUAUACAUGCUUAUUUCAUUUUAUUAGAACACAUUCCAUAUGUAAACUCUUCAAUUUAGGACGGAGGGAAUAUAUCAUUUCAAGCUUGGUUUGCAAGAAUUGCAAAUAAACUACGUUAAA